UUUUUUUUUUUGCUUGUUUUUUACAUCGCAGGAAAUCAAUAUCAAACGGAGUCCAAAUGCAGCGAAAUUUUUUGUGGAUUUUUUCUGGACCAGAAGACACCUGUUGGGCCAAGAAAGUACCUGAGGGGAGCUCUGAGGGGAGCACAACCCACCAGGGCGCACCUGGGGGCCCAGGCGCGCCCAGGUGGGUUGUGCCCACCUCGGUGGCCUCCCGCACCGCCUCUUUGCUCUAUAAAUACCCCAAUAUUCCAGAAACCCUAGGGGAGUCGACGAAAAUCAAUUCCAGCCGCCGCAAGUUCCAGAACCACCAGAUCCAAUCUAGACACCAUCAUGGAGGGGUUCAUCAUCCUCAUUGGUGCCUCUCCGAUGAUGCGUGAGUAGUUCAUUGUAGACCUACGGGUCCGUAGUUAGUAGCUAGAUGGCUUCCUCUCUCUCUCUUUUGAUUCUCAAUACAAUGGUCUCUUGGAGAUCUAUUUGAUAUAACUCUUUUUGCGGUGUGUUUGUUGGGAUCCGAUGAACUUUGAGUUUAUGAUCAGAUCUAUGUUUUUAUCCAUGAAAGUUAUUUGAAUCUUUUGAGAUCUUAUAUGCAUGAUUACUUAUAGCCUCGUAUUUCUUCUUCGAAUCUUUGGUUUACUUAGGCCGACUAGAUCGGUUUUCUUGCCAUGGGAAGAGGUGCUUUGUGAUGGGUUCGAUCUUACGGUGCUUGAUCCUAGUGACAGAAGGGGAACCGACACGUAUGUAUCGUUGCUAUUAAGGAUAACAAGAUGGGGUCUAUUUCUACAUAAAUAGAUCUUGUCUACAUCAUGUCAUCGUUCUUAUUGCAUUACUCCGUUUUUCCAUGAACUUAAUACACUAGAUGCAUGCUGGAUAGUGGUCGAUGUGUGGAGUAAUAGCAGUAGAUGCAGGCAGGAGUCGGCCUACUAAUCUUGGACGUGAUGCCUAUAUAAUGAUCAUUGCUUGGAUAUCGUCAUGAUUAUUUGAAGUUUUAUCAAUUGCCCAACAGUAAUUUUUUACCCACCGUAUGCUAUUUUUCUCGAGAGAAGCCACUAGUGAAAUCUACGGCCCCCAGGUCUCUUCUUUAUUAUAUUUGCCUUUGAGAUAUAUUUUUAUUCGCUUUUAUUUUCAGAUCUAUUAAUCCAAAAAUACAAAAAUACCUUGCUGCAAUUUUUAUUUAUUUAUUUUAUCUCGCGAUCCUGCGAGGUCUAUUUAUCCAAUCUACUACAAUUUUACCUAUCUUUUUACCCGUGAGGAAUUGACAACCCCUCUCUUACGUUGGGUUGCAAGUAUUUGUUCUUUGUGUGCAGGAGUUGUUUACGUGGUGUUGCAUGGUUCUCCUACUAGUUCGAUAACCUUGGUCUCAUCAUUGAGGGAAAUACCUACCGUUGAUGUGCUGCAUCAUCCCUUUCUCUUUGGGGAAAUACCGACGUAGUUCAAGCCAACAUCAGUGAGCAUGUGUCCAAGGUCGACUAUCCAACUAAAGUCGAUCUUGAUAGGAUGAACAAGUUCGGCAUGUGCAAGGUGCCUGGCAGCUCAUGCUACCUCGAGUUUGAUGAGUGGAAACAAAAUGAACCGGUUGGGCAUCCUCUCAUGAAGAUCUGGGUCAGAUUCUUUGGGGUUCCGCCCAAACCACUUAACGACUUUCUUGAGACCUGGUGCCUUGGUUCUCUUAUUGGCAAGGCCGAGGACGUUGAUAUGUCAUUCACUCGCAAGCAUGGCAUUGCGAGAUUGCGUGUUGGAGUGAUUGAUGUGGAGGCAGUGCCUGCUUAUUUAUCUUGGUUUUAUGAUGGUCUAGGAUAUGAUCUAAAACUUGAGAUUGAGGGAUACCCAUUGGCUAUGAACGCAGACAAAGGAAAGGAUUCCUCCGAUGGCACGGAUGGUACUCAUGGACGAUAGGAUGAUCUGAUGGACCACGAUAAGCGUGGAGAUCCACCUGCGUCUUCCGGAGGGAUGGGACAGUCGUCCACGUCCACGACCCCGGCGACCACGACACCUGAUCCCGCUUCGACGCCCAUGGCAGGGCUUCGCUUCGGGUCAUUUGGUGCUGUUUUGGCGCUUGGGCGCCUUUGGGGUGAUCGGGUGGAGAGAGCUAACCCAGCAAAGCAGGAGCUGCCUCCGUUAUCGCCCGUCUGUUUCACCUUUUCUGAGGGUGGCUCUAGUAUGGCGGCGUCCCCGGAGUCACCUAGGGGGAGGAGCUCGAGGCAGGCGUCCUCACUUCUUGCUUCCCCUACUGAUAUGGUGGUUCCUUCUGCCGCAGUGGUGGCUUAUCCGUCCAUGAUGCCUCGGAGUGCUGCUACUUCACCAGGCGGCAGCUGUGGGGGAGACUUCUGGGGCCACUUCGACUCUGACUCCACAGGGGGUCACGACUUCACCACAGUUGUCGCAGGAGGUGACGACUGUGGCAGCGACGUCUGAGGUCGUGGUUCAGAUGCUGGUACCAGAGGCGGGCGCUCCGGUGCUACAUCCAGCCAUGACGCCUCGGGGCGCUGCUACUUCACCACAGCUGUCGCAGGAGGCGGCAGCUGUGGGGGAGACUUCUGGGGCCACUUCGACACUAACUCCACAGGGGGUCACGACUUCACCACAGUUGUCGCAGGAGGUGACGACUAUGGCGGCGACGUCUGAGGUCGUGGUUCAGAUGCCGGUACCGGUGGCGGGCACUCCGGUGCCACAUCCCACAGCUUCAUCUGUUGUACGGGUGAUGAACUUCUUCGACCAAGAGGUGGUGGCCUUUGGAGGGAUCCCAGAUCCGACCUCUGGAGGGAGGAGGUCGAGCUGGCGUAUUCAGGAGCAGCCGGAUGCUGAUGACCUGCAGCUGGGGCGCGCAAUGCGGACGGCCAAGAUUCGAGACAUUGAGUCUUCUACAGGUUUGUUAGUUAACACCAAUUUUCAGUUCUGCAUUUUUCUGAGCAUGAUAUUAUACAUAGAACGGAUAAAUUGGGCAUUUCUCUGGGAGAUAGCGAACGUGAAGUAGCUACUUCUAUUAAUGAGCUUCUUGAUAUAGAAACGGAUAGAACGAUGACUAUGCUUAAAAAUAUUGCAGUUGUCAAACCGAUGAAAGAGAGUGAGAUUAAUGAGUUGGGUGUUUGUGAAUUGGAGGGUUUAUGCGAGGAUCUAGUUCCUACGAGUCUUCUUGAUUCGGAGACCUUGGACGUGGAGGGGCAUGUGGCCACUCUGCAAUCAUGUGAAGGUCUCGGCGACGAUUCCAGUCAUGCGGACAGUGAGCUCAUGCCAGAGGCACCUAGACGUAAACGUCAAAAAAGGUAUAUGGCCUUUCAACUGUGCGUCGAAGUGCUAGGAUUAAGUUCAGGAAGAAAUUUCAUGAUGAUCCAUGCGAGGCAUUUUUUGGAAUAGCAGAGGUCUUAGGGACUUGGCUAAGCGUAGGUUUUUGGCGGAGGCUUCUCUGGAAUAGAAGCUUGACUUUGUUGCGUUGCUUGAGACAUGACGUCAUAAUUUCACCUCGCAGUUCCUUGGGACAAUUUCGGGUGGUAUUUAUUUCGAUUGGCAUUGUUUGCCACCUUGGGGAAGAUUUGGUGGGAUCUUACUCGGAGUCAACUGCGAGACUCUUGAGGUGGUAAACGUAUUCUGGGGUGAAUUUGCAGUGAAAUUCCAUGUGCGAUCGAAAGUUGACGGGUUCAGGUGGGCUCUAGUGGCUGUGUACGGGGCGGCACAACCUGAGCUCAAACCAGACUUCCUUGCAGAUCUAGUUAGGAUUUGUGGGGGCGAGACUCUACCAAUUCUGGUUGGUGGAGAUUUCAACAUUAUUAGAAGAAGAGAAGAAAAAAAUAAUGACAACUUUGAUGGCAGAUGGUCCUUUAUGUUCAAUGCGGUUAUCGAAAGCCUGGACCUGCGAGAGAUCAACCUCACAGGAAGGCAAUUUACUUGGGCAAACAAUCUUCCGAAUCCGACGUAUGAAAAGCUUGAUAGGGUUCUUACGAGUACAGAGUGGGAACAAAAAUUUCCUUUCGUGAAGGUGCAGGCGUUACAGAGGGGAAUAUCUGAUCAUACACCCCUUCUUGUUGACUUCGGUGAGGUGGCUCACCGGGGAAACAAGAAUGUCUUCUCUUUUGAAACUGUGUGGUUCAAGAGAGAGGAUUUCCUUGAGUUGAUAGCAAGGGAAUGGGCCGCGGAACAAAGGGGUGAGUCCAAGAUCAAAAGAUGGCAGUAUAAGAUUAGACAUCUUAGACAGUUCUUGAGAGGCUAGGCUAAGAACAAUAGUGGCAUAUAUAGACAAGAGAAAGAAAGAUUGAUGAAGAUUAUUAACGAUCUAGACAUAAAAGCCGAGAGCACUUCCCUGGACAUGGAUGAGCGAGUGACUAAAAGAGAAGCUGAGGUCAGCUUGGCGAAGCUUCUUAGAGAAGAGGAGAUGAAAUGAGCACUUAGAGCGAAAGUGCGCCGGGUUGUUCAAGGGGAUAAAAACACACAAUUUUUCCAUAUGAUUGCCAAUGGGAAACAUAGGAAAAAGAGAAUCAUACAGCUUGAACAAGAUGAGGGUACAAUUGUAGGCCAUGAAAAUCUGAAAAUGUAUAUUUCCAAUUAUUAUAAAAAAAUGUUUGGGGCCCCGAUAGAGAAUUAUGUCGGCCUCGAUGAGAGUAUGGUGGACAAUAUUCCUCAACUGUGGGAUGACGAGAACGAAGUUCUCACUGCCCCGUUUUCUGAGGAGGUGUUUGAAGCGAUAGCACAAAUGAAAAAUGAUAAAGCACCUGGUCCAGAUGGCUUCCGAGCUGAGUUCUAUAAGAAAUGCUGGGGGUAUUAUUAAAGGAGACUUGAUGCCUAUGUUCCACGAUCUGUUUAAUGGCCACUUACAACUUUUUAAGCUAAACUUUGGCACCAUCACACUGUUACCAAAGAAGGAGGAAGAAAUUCGCAUUGAGCAAUUCAGGCUGAUAUGUUUGUUGAAUGUGAGCUUCAAGAUUUUCACAAAGGUUAGCAUGAACCGUCUGACACAGAUUACCCAUUCUGUGGUUCAGCCAACCCAGACUGCUUUCAUGCCAGGACGGCACAUUCUCGAGGGAGUGGUCGUAGUACAUGAGACCUUGUACGAAAUUCACUCGAAGAAGCUCGAUGGAGUGGUCUUCAAGGUGGAUUUUGAAAAGGCUUACGAUAAAGUGAAAUGGCCAUUUUUACAGCAGGCCUUGCGUAUGAAAGGGUCCGAUCAUGCAUGGAGGAAGCAGGUUGAAUCCUUUGUACAGGGAGGCAACGUCGGAAUCAAGGUAAAUGAUGAUAUUGGUCAUUAUUUCAGACGCUAAAAGGAUUGAGACAGGGAGAUCCGAUGUCUCCAAUCCUCUUUAAUGUCGUCGUUGAUAUGUUGGAUGUUCUUGUUAAUAGAGCGAAACAAGAUGGCCAAGUAGGUGGUCUUAUCCCACAUUUGGUAGAUGGUGGGGUCUCCAUUUUACAGUAUGCCGAUGACACCAUUAUUUUCAUGGAACAUGACCUUGUUAAGGCAAGAAACAUGAAGUUAGUGCUUUGCCUUUUCGAACAACUGUCAGGACUGAAGAUUAACUUUAAUAAGAGUGAGCUGUUCUGCUUUGGACGCGCCAAAGAAGAGCAAGAAACUUAUGAGCAGUUGUUCGGGUGUGAAUUGGGUUCGUUACCCUUUACGUAUUUAGGGAUUCCAAUUCAUCACCGCAAGCUCAAUAAUAAAGAAUGGAAAUGUAUUGAAGAUUGGUUUUAAAAGAAACUGAGUUGCUGGAAGGGCAAACUCUUGUCUUAUGGAGGAAGAUUGGUUCUUAUUAAUUCGGUACUCACAAGUAUGCCAAUGUUUCUCCUUUCAUUCUUUGAAGUCCUGGUUGGGGUACGAAAAAGAUUGGAUUUCUAUCGAUCUAGAUUUUUUUUGGCAAAUUGAUGAAAACAAGGCUAAAUAUCGGUUGGCAAAAUGGGAUAUAAUUUGUAGACCGAAGGACCAGGGAGGCUUGGGUAUUGAAAAUCUGGAAGUGAAAAACAAGUGUUUGCUCAGCAAAUGGUUGUACCGUCUAUCAGUAGAAAGAGAAGGGGUCUGGAUUCAACUGCUGCGUAAUAAAUAUCUUUAUUCCAAAACGCUCGCCCAGGUUACGGCACAACCGCCUGACUCUCCGUUCUGGAAGGGGGUGAUGAGGACAAAGGUCGUCUUCUUUAACAGGACUAAAUUCAUUGUAGAGAAUGGACAGGAUACUAGGUUUUGGGAGGACACCUGGUUAGGAGAAACCCCAUUAGCCUUGCAGUAUCCAUCCCUUUACAACAUUGCACAACGGAAAGAGGUCUCUGUUGCUACAGUGUUGGGAUCCAUUCCUCUUAACAUGCAGUUUCGGCGGUCGCUUAUAGGUCAGCGGUGGGAUAGAUGGCUACAUCUUGUGCGUAGGUUAACGGAGGUUAACCUUUUUGGUGUAGAAGACUCUUUGUACUGGAAACUAUCAGGGUCAGGAGUUUUCUCGGUUAAAUCCAUGUACACGGAUUUGAUUAAUACUGGGAAUAUCCCGAGGACAGUUCAUAUAUGGAAAGUUAAGGUGCCAUUGAAAAUAAAAGUGUUUACGUGGUUUGUGCAUAAGGGUGUAAUUCUAACUAAAGAUAAUCUAGCUAAGCGUAAUUGGGAAGGAAGUAAAAGAUGUUGCUUUUGUGAUCAUGAUGAAACAAUAGAAUAUCUGUUUAUCAAAUGCCCGCUUGCUAAGUUACUUUGGAGAACUAUUCACGUUGCGUUUAACGUCACUCCGCCUCUCACGAUAUCACAUAUUUUUGAGAACUGGUUGGCUGGGGUAGCGCCUCAGACCACGGCACAUAUUCGAGUGGGAGCAUGUGCAUUACUUUGGGCGUUAUGGAAUUGUUGAAAUGACGUCGCCUUUAACAGACAAACCAUCACCAAUUUUUUGCAGGUCAUCUUCAGAGCGUCUACCUGGAUCCGUACGUGGUCCUUGAUCAGCCAUGCGGACCACAGGGCGCAUAUGGAUAUUGGGUGCAGUCGAUGGGAGAUGAUUGCACGGGAUAGAUAUAACCGGUUUGGAUGGCGGUCUAAUAAUAGGAUAGGUGUUUAGUCAUCUAGUCCUAUUUUCGCCGGUUGUGGCAUUUAUUUACUUCGACUUUUUGCUUAUGUUCGAGACUACUUGGUUGAAUCUUUUAUUUUAAUAAAUGGUUGUGUGCAUCAAGAGAUGCACAGGCCGGGGGCACGCCUCCUUUUCAAAAAAAAAACAUCCUGUGAAUUUAUCUGACAAAGCAAACGUCACAGCUAGCACUUCUGGCGGUACAUCUACUUGGAAAAAGUGGAUUUAUCUGUGUCUACUGUGGAUUUUCAUCCUGUGAUUUUUUUUAGGAAGUUCAUGUCCAGUUUGUGAAGGAAACAAAAGAACAUCCUAAUUCUGGAGCUUUUGUUACCGUGGAGGAGCAGUUCCAAGAUAUGUGUAUGAGCCAUGUUGUUACAAUUCCACAAUCACCUCAUACAAAUGUUGUCUCUGUUUGGAGUUCAGGACCUGACAGCUCCAUGGCUGCCCAAAUAGACUAUUGUUCUGCCCAGUUAAGUACUCCCUCUGUUAAGAAAUGUAACAUCGUCUAGAACACUAAUGAUCUAAACGAUCUUAUAGAGGGAGUAGAUUUGAAGUGGCCGAGUCUGAUGAAGAUGAGGAUGUUUUGGGGGAAGAAGACACACAACUUUUGCCUGUGUAAGGGCCUGUUUGGAUCAGCGUUUUGGUUUCAAAUACCUUCGUAUAAAAUACAUGCCUCGGUCGGUCGUUUCGUUUCCGGCCAGAAAUUGCUCAUUAGCCGGUAAGUUACACCUGUAAAGAAAACACCUCCGUAUAAUUUUACACCCAAUCCAAGCGCGGCCUAAAUGGUUGCAGCUUUGGGCUCCAUUAAAACAUGCCUGCUCAGCUCAAUGGAGUAGACUAAUUCUGACACAAAUUGAAGAGUGCUAAACCUGCUACUGACAUUUCCUCUAAGUGGGGUCCAGUUAUUAUCCAGAAGCCUAAUACCAGAAAUCAUGGUCAUGUGGAUAUUAUGGCCAAAGCUACUCAGAAGAAAAAGAAUUUGGAAAUUCGCAGGUCUUUCAAAAGGGCGGGUUUGGAGAAGCACCAGAUGCAUUCUGUCCAAGUUCAGUGGGUUUCUCCAUCAAUAAAAGGUUCUCUGCGACAAUGCUCAGUCGGUGCUUCCCCUCAGGUGCCUGCUGCCGCUGGAUCGUCGUCGAGGAGAGAGAUUGCCUGGGGCUAAUCCUUCCCCGGGAAGCGACUGAUGAAGAGAGGCGCCAGAUUCCGAUUUCUAGCACCAACUGGUACCAGGUACCAGCGUGCCUGAUGGACCUGUGGGGUGUGCUGCUUCUUCAGUCUAGUUCCUGGCCUGAAUACUUACAGUAUACAUUUCUAAAACAGCCGUAUAAUGUACUGCCUCCGUCCCAAAAUAUAAGAUGUUUUUACACUUCAAUUUGAACUGCAAAAAACGUCUCAUAUUUUAGGACAGAGGUGGUAUGUUUUAAAGAGAUCCCAUGCCCUCUCGGUCUUAUGAUACACCCAAUUAGUGAUGUGAUUCAUCUUUCCUUUUUCAGUCUUGAAGCUACACAGAUUCAGUUCAGUGCGAUCAUGUACCAUUCACAAUUUCAACAGCCACAGUUUGCUGUUAGGCUGGACGCAGAAAUUUAUUUCAGAAACUGUUUCUGCACCCUCCGAGUGCAGUACAGCAGAAUCAACAGAUACGUACAUGCAAGUCCUAUACAAGGUCUACUGCUCCAAAGCAAAUCUAAGGUGAAAGGAGCAAUAAAACAAAAUUAUAAUUGAACAAAUCCACCCAAGGAUUUGCAAAGCUCAAGCCGGAGCAGCACGGUGCAACCGGAGCACCUAGUGAGCACUACAAGGAAGAGCAGAAACAAGCAGAGGUCUCAGGCACUUGCAACCGCUGCGCCAUGUAGAGACAAGUCACCUCACGAGGAACGGCAAGCUUCUGAUGCUUUCAGAAAAGCUCGACUGCGGACCGCCUCGCGAUUUCUCAGUUCCAUGUUGUCAGCAAUCCUCUCCCCCCUCCGAAGUUUGGCAAAAGCAGUGGUCAGUUCUGUCGCCUCGAUAACACGAAGCAGAAGCACCUCCUCUGCACUUGCCCACCAAGCCCAAUACCAUAUAAGCAUCGUUCUUCAACUUCAGCCACCUCCAGUUCAGCUUGUAGUAGCAUAUAUGUUAAGAGAGAACCAGCACACUACCAAUCUCCAUCAGCUGCAUAGUUUGACUGUGCAUGCCACUGUCUGGGCCCAAUACUUGAGCCUAGCUUUCACUUCCUCUGGACUAUCAC
rnacentral:lncRNA from 1 species